CACACAACCAUUGUGGCCACCCGUCACUAUCGCCCGCCUGAGGUGAUCCUUGACCCACGAAAACCGAGAGCACCUGGUGAUGAUGGAGAAGAUCCUAGGGCCCAUCCCAUCACACAUGAUCCACCGUACCCGGAAGCAGAAAUAUUUCUACAAAGGGGGCCUAGUUUGGGAUGAGAACAGCUCUGACGGCCGGUAUGUGAAGGAGAACUGCAAACCUCUGAAGGUCAGUUUCUGGCUACCCCCAGCUCAACUCAUGCCAAGGAGAGACCCCAGGCACUGGGCAGACAUACAGCAGAGACAGGCCAGGCCGCUAAAGGCUGCCUCCUC
rnacentral:sRNA from 1 species